rnacentral:tRNA from 1 species
GGCCGCCUGGCGAAAUGGCAUCGCGUCUGACUACGAUGUCGUGUGAUCAGGAGAUUGCAGGUUCGACCCCUGCGGUGGUCA